CAUUAAUAAUAUUAAUAUGAAACAUAUACAGUAUGCUACAUGAAACGACUUCAAAAGCGGAACUGGCAUUUUUUCCCCGACUACAUUUAGCACAUGAUAAUCAUUUGAGAGAAGAUAUUAUUAUUCAAGAUUUUAUUGAUGAAAAAAUAUCUUCAACGAACGAGGUUUGAACGUUUUGCGUUGAAAAGCAGUCCAAUCAAUGUCUUGUCAUGCCAUGAAAAAUGUUCGAGUUUAUCCCGCGUCAUUUAUAAUUCAGCGCGAGGUAACCGAAAUCUAAACGACUGCCGAUGAUAAAGAGAUACAUUCAAGCGCAUUGCUGUAGUAUUUCAAGCACACCACUCACAUAAAAAGAUAUCUUGUUACUUUCACAUCGCAAUAAAGGACACCGCACCGACUUUGCUCCAACCCACACAUUAUUAUUCUACAUUUACACACUGAAAAAAGCAACGAGGAGGCAAAAUGCAGCGAAAAACUAUAAAAGAAUAAGGAAAUAAGGUGUCAGGUACACAACAUCAAUACAAAUUGUUUAAAUUUAUUGCUGUUAAAAUUGAGUAUGGCGCCUGCAUGCGCAAAAAUACUCGGUUGAAUUUUUAUUUGUUUUUUUUUCCUCGAGAAUGUAUCCAAGUUAUUUAAGUUGAA